rnacentral:lncRNA from 1 species
UUGCAGUCCUCGGCAGCCCCUCCCAGAAGUGGGGUAGGUGAAGGCAGGUUGGCGUGGGUGGAGAGGUGGGGCAUUUUUUAGUAGCUCUCUCAAUGGAAGAUGCGCUCCAAGUCUUGCAAAAGGAUAGGGAGGUGGCCCAGGCCCGGGAGUGCGCAUGUAAGGGUUGAGGAGAAGGCCUGCGACGACGGAGGAGGGGUGAGGGCUGAGAGAGAGGAUCGCCUUUUUGGUUCUGUUCAAGGUGUUGGGGUUGCUUCUCAGAGGGGUCAGAGCCGCAACUCAGUGGCCACGGGGCCUUGGAGACAAGCGCUCACCCCUCCCUUUCUCCUCCUCAGACCUGCGGGCUUUUGUUAUGCAGAUGGCGGCGGGAGGCUGAGCCAGAGAAGGAGGGGUUGCUGGGGAAGGAGGAGACGGAGAAGGGGAGGGAGGAAAGUACAGCUCGCGCGACCAGCCU